rnacentral:rRNA from 1 species
CCUACGGGUGGCAGCAGUGAGGAAUAUUGGUCAAUGGGCGAGAGGCUGAACCAGCCAAGUAGCGUGAAGGAUGACGGCCCUACGGGUUGUAAACUUCUUUUAUAAAGGAAUAAAGUGCGGCACGUGUGCCUUUUUGUGUGUACCUUAUGAAUAAGGAUCGGCUAACUCCGGGCCAGCAGCCGCGGUAAUACGGAGGAUCCGAGCGUUAUCCGGAUUUAUUGGGUUUAAAGGGAGCGUAGAUGGGUUGUUAAGUCAGUUGUGAAAGUUUGCGGCUCAACCGUAAAAUUGCAGUUGAUACUGGCAGUCUUGAGUGCAGUUGAGGUAGGCGGAAUGCGUGGUGUAGCGGUGAAAUGCUUAGAUAUCACGAAGAACUCCGAUUGCGAAGGCAGCUUACCAAACUGCAACUGACAUUGAUGCACGAAAGUGUGGGUAUCAAACAGGAUUAGAUACCCUAGUAGUC